rnacentral:sRNA from 1 species
CCGGGAGACCGGGAAAGCCGUUUCACACCCGUCCUAGUCGAAGUCGAGAUUUCCUUUGGCUUCAAAGCUCUCUCACCAUAUUUUGGGAAGUUAUGGAUCAUCACAUUCCCAUGCAUGCUUUGCCUGAAGAAAUCCAAAAGAAUUUAUGAUGUAGGCAUGCAGUUAAAAAGUCAACAAAAUGAAUUUCAGAAAGUAAAGAAACAAUUGAGUCAUUUGCAAGAUGAGCUAAAAAUUAAAUAUAGACAAUCAUACAUCUUCAGAAAUAGACAUACUGAAUAAAAGUUUGACAGUGUCCCAGAGAAAUAAAGUAUGCCUUGAAAAGGAAAUGAAAAAUCUGAAAUUGUUGUCAGAUGCAGCCAUAUUGAGAUCUCAGCAGAUUCGGACAUCUAGACAACAGGAAGUAAACUUGCAAACCAGAUGCUAUGAUUUGCAAAAAGAAGUACUAGAUUUACAAUGUCUAGUGGAGGCACUUGGAUUAAAACUUCAGAAGGCAGUGACAGAGAUGGACAACUAUAAAGAAAUGCUUAUGUAAGAUGGAGAAUAUUAAACAACUUAUAAGAUAACAGUGCUCUGUAGAUGUGUUACAAAAUGGCAAGAAUUAGGAAGAAAUGACAAGAAUUAUAAAGACCCUGGUGUGUUCUCUGUGAUUCUUUUGGCAGUGAUUUACUGGUGUGGGUAAUAGUUUACUGCUGCUUUUCUUGCCCACUUUACUGGCCUAGAUUAUAUAUUGAAGAACCUGUAAAUAUUUUUAAAUACAUGGAGGAUUUCUUUCUCUCAAUAAGAAACUUACUUAUCCAUAUAUUAAAGCUUUCCCUG